UUAGGUGUAGAGUAUUGACCCAGAGUGGGGAAGGAUUUUGUACAAGCCAUCUGCUGAUAUUUGUUAUGCUGAUGCAAAUGUUUGUUUAGACCUGGAGGACAGGAUUGUGGCUAUGGAGGAGACGAGGAGGACACAGAGGGGUGCCUGGUAGGGCACUCGGCAUUAGGCAGCUCAGUCCAGGGUCUGGAACCAGAGGGCCAAGGGUAGAGACAGUGAGGGUGGCCUAGUCUGGGUCAAUGGCCCUGAGGACUGGGGUCAGGAGCCCAGAGUGAGAGGCAAGGGCAUGGACCCAGAAGCAGAGGUCCAGGACAGUGGAACUUGGGGCAGGGUCUUGUCAUGCUACAGUGUCCCCUUUUGGUAUCAGAAGAAGCUAAAGAUAUUAAUGUCAUUUAUGUUUUUGAAAGCCUACUUUGGCACUGAAAUAGUGAAAAAAUUUCAGUGCCGAAAUUGCCAGGGUCUUAAAGUUUAUUAUUCAGACUGGAGUCAUUGAAAAGUAUUUGUUCCUUAGCAAACUUAGUGAGCCAUGAUGGGCCUAGUCAAUGAUUUUGCACUGAAUGUGAAAGCCAGGGUUUUUUUUUCAGUAUCAUAGUGAAACCUGUUGAAAUUAAGUAGUUAUGUUUUGAGGCUUUGGGCUUCCUUUAAUUCUGAAGUGAAAAGUAAAACCCAGGUUGAGAGGACAGAGAAAAAUGUCCCCCCAAAGUAAAAAUACAGGGCUGUCUACUUUCUAGUAAAUAGUGGAGAGAAGGUAGGGCCUGCAGGUAUCUAGCUGGACAUGCACAAGCAACGCUGACAUAGUUUGCAGUCACCUUUGCUUGUAAACCCCAGAGACUCUCUGUACUUGUGCUGCUCCAAAGGUUGUAGUUCUUCAUUUGGAAGAAGAGGAUUGCACUUCAGAAGAUAAUGCUGAUUUUGGUUGUCUUUUAGCAUUUGGCUGGAUUAGUUAUGAAAUCAGAAUUUUCUUUGGAAGUGUAGUUGACCAUUUAAACUCAACCAAUUCCUUUUUAUGAGCAUUUGUGCUAAAAAAAAGUUCCAGUGUUUGAACUAAGUAAAUAUAAAUGAUUGUGAAUCUGGAUCAGCUGAUGCCAAAUUUUUAAAAUAAAUAUUUGCAUCUAGGUUUCUCACUCCUGCACAGCUCUACUAGUGACACAAAGGAAAGAGGAAAGCGGCAUGUCAGACAGAUUUUUGGAUGAGAAAAAUCUGUGUUCAUGUCAAAUUUACAAGGAAACUAAUAAUGUUUACCCAUUUCCCAGUCUUAUCAAGAGCUGUGUAAUAUUAAAUAGGAUUUGAAUUGACAAAUGAGAUUUAAAAAUAUCAUCUUUUUCCAAAAUUUCAUAAUCAUAGAACACUAUAAAUGGAAAAAAAUCUAGUGUUAGUAAUCCAGUUAAAAGCACAGUAUAUUUGUUCAGUGUACAAAAAGCACCUACAAAUACAAACUGAAAUAUUGCUGGUAGAUUUGUUUCUUAAUAUGCAUAUAUUUCUUGCACCACUUGUAAAAUAAAUAAAUAAAUAGAAAAAAAUAAACCCUUUCCUUAACAAUGCAAAUCAAAUUGACCUUGUUGUUUAGAUUUCUUGUUGCAAAUAUCUUCCUAGUUAGUGUAUAAUUUAUAAUAGCCAGUAGAAGAAACUGCAAUAUAUUAGAACUUAGUGUGUACUGAAAUACUUUUCCUUCCUGUAACUUUUUCCCCAUCAGUACCAUUCUCUGAAAACUGAUUAGUAAAGAAAGAUAUAGGCUGAGAUGAUUAUAACGAUUUCCAUGAGGUGAAAAAAAAAAUCUUGCUGGAGUAUGUCAACUCAGUUAAUAAUAAACAUUAAAUGAUAGAAGAAACUUAUAUUUACAAACCAUCUCCUCAUGCUGCCAUGAAUUGCAUUAGAGAAUGGAUGCCAAGGGAAGUUGCUUAGAUUCCAAAUGCACAUGCAUAUAAAUGUGGGGUUGGACUAGUUCCAUCAGGGCUUUGAUUACAAUAUUUUCUCUCAUUCUUGCAGCUUUACAAAACUCUUGUUUGUUGUGUAAGAGAUAGAAUUUUUUGUAGGUUUUUUUUUUAAACCAGGAAGUUCCUUCAUAUUUUGAUUUUGGGACUAUAUCAGUUAAAACACUACGGAUGUACAACUCCUGCCUGAGUUCUUGGCUUUCUUGUCAGUUCUUCUGCCAUUGAGGUGCUCAGGACCAAGAUUGGUAUUCAGAUAAUGAAUGUCCAGUUGGCUUCAGUGAACAUCAGGACUCUUCAUCUUCAACAGACCGACAGGCAAUAUGAAACAGUCAUCAGUAUGUAUGUCUAACCCUUGAUGCAGAUGACAAAACAAAAGAAAAUUCUAUUGUAAAUCUGACCAAGUCCCCAAACAAGAUAAGAUAACUCUUCUCAAUGAUGUCAGUGCUAGCGUGGGAAGGGUCUCCAAGAUAUGGAGAGGAAGGGUGGAUGAUGCAUUCCACCAUAUCCAUCCAUAUUGCCCCAAAAUGAUAUAAGCAAAAGAAGCAACUAAGGAAGAGGCCUGAUAUCAAGUACUUCAAAUAUCCUGCUAAAAGUGAUUAUCUCCAAGAGUGGGACACUCUGAUCUCUGUGAUAAUCUUGACACCAUUUAUCACUGGCACAGCCUCAAGAAAGGCAUCCAUUAGGUAUGUGAAAAAUCUCUAGGCUUCUCCAUAAAGAAACAUCGGGACUGGUUUGAUGAAAAUGAUAGGGGAAUUCAAGCAUUCAUUGACAGAAAAAAAGCCUUAAAAGCUUGGCAAAAUGACACCAGAUCCAAACAGAAGACAGAAAUUUGUCAUUAUAUUAAAGCUGAAAUCCAGAGGAAAAUUUGAAAAUGAAAGAAAAAGUGGUGGGAGGACAAAGCAAAAGUGAUUCGAAAGUUUUCUGAUGACCAUGAUGUUCAUACUUUCCUCAGUGCAACCAUUAUUGUAAGACAAAAUCAUCAGUCUUCCCACAACAUCCCAUUAAGGACUACUUUGAAGAUCCACCAACUUAUAAAGAGGCCUUGAAAGCCACUGAGCAGAUGAAGAACAACAAAGCAUGUGAUCUUGAUGGAAUACCAGCUGAAAUUUAUAAGCAAGGUGGAAAAAAGCUCUCACGAAAUAUGCAUUAUUAUUAUGAAAGUCUGGAAACAUGAGAUUCACAGUGAUGCCAGAAUCAGUAUCCUAUUUAAGAUAUAUCAGACUGCAGCAAUUGAGGUAUUUCACUCCUAUCCAGAGCUGGGAAGAUCCUUGUCUGCAUUCUCCACAAUAGACUUAGUUUCCUCACUGAGAAGAUUUCACCCAAGUCCCAAGGUGGUUUGGACCACUCAGAGGUACAAUAGAUAUGAUCUUUGUUACUAGACAGCUGCAGGAGAAAUGCCACAAGCAACACUGAGAUCUUCACAGGGUCUUCACUGAACAAACUAAGCCCUUUGAUUCAAUCAACAGGGCUUCCCAAAUUGUUCUCUCAAAUGACCACCGGGCACCCAUAGUUACUGCCUUAUGGACUACUUGCAUGGCUCUGUUCUUACCCUACACCAUGCCCCAUGCCUUGCAGAUGGCAUCCUCAUUGAUGUUCUCUUCACUUAGCCCCUCCUCUUGGGGCUCCUGGACCCUAUCUGGUUCCAUGUUGCCCUCAAUAGGUUCCUGGACCCUCAUUGGUCCCAUACUCUCAGCCCCUCAAUCUGGGCUCUGGACCCUUCCCUGUGUCCCUAGGAACCUCCUCCUCCUCUUUGUUCCUCCCCAAACCUCCAGACUGCUUUAGGUAUUACCCUCCAUGUUGACCUUCUGGAGAUCUAGCCACCCUCUGAGGCAAUCAGUGUUCUCUCAGCAGGCUCCAAGCUGUUACUGCUGGCUCCACUCAGGCCCGGGCUUAUCUUCUACCUUAGCCCAGCCUUCCUGCAGGGUCAGAUGACUCCAUAAGCAACCCUGGCCACACCUGCAGGCUGCCCCAACACUAGCCUGCCUGCUGCUUAAAGUGGCAGAAACACCAAGCCUCUUGCCACAAUCUGUGCCCUGUUGCAUGGAGGUGAAACUUGGAUGAUAUAUCAGAAACACCUGAUAGUUCUGGAACAUUACCAUGGCAUAAGCAAUGUCUUUGGAAAAUUCUUUAUAUCAGCUGGGAGGACAGAAGAAUGAAUGUCAGCCUUCUGGCUCAAGCAAACACCACAAGCAUGGAAGUCAUGUUUGUGGCACCAACUCCAUUCAUCAGGAUGUCAUAAGGAUGCCUGACAACCUGCUCCCAAAACACAUCCUAUACUCUCAGUUCACUGGUGGUCAGCACUGUAGAGGUGGGCAAAAGAAGAGAUUUAAGGACACCUUAAAGAUCAAUCUGAAGAAAUGUGACAUUAACAACAAUACCUGGACACUCGAGCACUGAAUUGUCUGCAGUGGUGCCAUUUUACGAAUGAUCAAUGCUACAUCAUGUAUCCACCUCAUUAUGGAAGUGGAUACAUGAGAGAUAUAUAUAGAGAGAGUGAGCUGUGACCUAACAUAAUCAGGAUCUACUUUUUUCUCCCAGAACUGUUUGCCACACCUGCAGGUGAAUGUGCAAACCUCAUCAGAGUCCUUGGUGGGCUAUGGACUCAUUGGUGACUUUCCUAUUUACUGAAGAUUGUCAUCCUUCUAUCAAGAGACUACUGACAACAACAACAAAAAGCAAGACAAUAAAAAGGACCUUAAUGACAUCUGAUGAGUAAAGUUGUUUUGUAUUUGAAAGUAUUAUACAUAAAAAAAGAUUCCUGAGAAUUUGAUAUAAUUUCUCUUUUGAAUUAAAAACCAUAGAGAACUAUGAUUUAGACUAGCAAAAUUAUGUAAUGAAUAGUCUUAAUAAAUUCUAGCUCCUCCUAAACAGAUUACCAUGAAUUUGUAGUUGAAUGUUUGAUAAAUGAAGAGAGACAAAAUGUUCUACUUUUCAGCACAUUUUGAUCCACAGCUGGUGCACCGACUGUUACAGAGUGUAUAUUAGCUUUAGCUGUGAUUUUUCAAGCUAAAGUUUACUUUAUUUAGCUCUAUGGGUAUUUAAAAUUACUUGAAGUAAAUGUUUUAACAUUGGAAAAUGUUGCUUAAUGAGGACUUUGGCCCACCUGGAAAAUAUUAAUAUUACUCCUUGAUCCUGCAGUGCGAUCCUUUAUAGUCAUAUUUUGACCUGUGCUGUAGAAGCAUUAUAACCAGCCUGAUGAAAUGGCUUUUAUCUCCAUUUGGGUAGCUGUUCUAUUUCUGAUCCUAAAAAGUGAUGUGAGAAAGAGGUCUGCAUUUACCUGGCCUCUGCUUAGGGCCAGUGUGGCCCUUCUCUCAUGCAUUUCACAUUGUCAAACUUUAAUAUGCAUAACAGAAUAUAGGGUUAUUUAGGAGACUUCUAUGGUACAUUUGAUACACAGCACAAAUCUUCAGGAAAAAUUAAAAAAAUAUUGACUUAAAAUUUACAUAGACAUUUCAACAUUGUUUAAUAUAUUUGUAAAGCAUUUACUUCGGCACUUAUGAUAAAUUUUAAUAAAAUUUUUUACAGUUUGUUAAUGUGAAAAUAAAGAGCAAAUCAUGUUCACCUCACUAAAGUAAAGGUACAUAAGUACAUUAUUUAAUAGAGGCGCUUAAUUUAAUCUUUGUUAGGUCCCACUGAUGUAAUAUCUAAUCUCAGUUCUGUAACUGACUCACUGUGUGGUUCAGAGCAAGCUCUUUACCCACUGGCAGUGCUCCCAAAUGUAAAAUGGGAUAUUAUUAUUAAUUUACCUGCUGGUUGUAUUCUGAGGAAAAAAAUGGUUAAUGUUUGCACAGCAACUUGAAUUUGUACAGUGCUAUGCAAAUGCUAGCAUAUUGAAAGCAUUACUGUAAAGGAGUUCAGCAAAAAUGCUAUUUGCAUUACUGUAAAAUAAAGAGAUCAAGGUCCUUGCCAUUCUAAUUGAAACACCCAAGUUAAUUUAGUUGUUGUUAUUUAGAAGAGUCAUUCCUUUGUUUGGCAUAAAUAGAGUUUAUAGCCACUUGAGACGAAUAAUCAUCACUAAAGCAGAGUAAUUUGCUCCAGUUUGAUUAUGUCAGCAUAAACACAAUAGUGCUUCCAUUGAACACAUGACUUAAGACAUGGUAGUAUUUCCAUUGUAACCAUCUUUAUCAAAUGCCUAUAACAAAGAAGUUAAAAUUGCUCUGGGAUGCAAUUUAGUUUAUCACAGAUGUGCUGUACAAUUGGUUUUAUAUCUUUCUGCAGUUAAAGCUAAAACAUAGUUUCAAUUUUUAACAUUAUGAUUUCACAUUUGUGAUUGGUGUCAUGAGUUUUUGUUUAGAAUACAGUGCAACUGUAUCUUGUAUGGUGGCACAGUUAUGUAACAUUUUUAACAGUGUCUACUGCAUGGGGAAGCAACUCUUCAAUAGAUCUUUAUAUUUUGACACGUAUAUCAUAUGGAAUAUAUUAGAAAUUUCCUAAAUAUAUUUUUCUCAAUACAUUUCAAAAGACCAAAAUAAAAUUUUAAGCCUUGGA